AAUGAACGCUGGCGGCGCGCCUAAUACAUGCAAGUCGAGCGAGAAGACGUAGCAAUACGUUUGUAAAGCGGCGAACGGGUGAGGAAUACAUGGGUAACCUACCCUCGAGUGGGGAAGUAACUAGCCGAAGGUUAGCUAAUACCGCGUACGCUCCUUGGACUUCGGUUCAGGGAGGGAAAGCGAUACCGUGGGUAGUCGCGCUCUUGGUUGGGCUCAUGUCCUAUCAGCUUGUUGGUGAGGUAACGGCUCACCAAGGCUUCGACGGGUAGCUGGUCUGAGAGGACGAUCAGCCACACUGGCACUGCGACACGGGCCAGACUCCUACGGGAGGCAGCAGUAAGGAAUAUUGCGCAAUGGGCGAAAGCCUGACGCAGCGACGCCGCGUGGGGGAGU
rnacentral:rRNA from 1 species